rnacentral:rRNA from 1 species
UACGUAGGGAGCAAGCGUUGUCCGGAAUCAUUGGGCGUAAAGCGCGCGUAGGCGGCCCCGUAAGUCCGCUGUGAAAGUCAAAGGCUCAACCUUUGAAAGCCGGUGGAUACUGUGGGGCUAGAGUCCGGAAGAGGCGAGUGGAAUUCCUGGUGUAGCGGUGGAAUGCGCAGAUAUCAGGAGGAACACCGGUGGCGAAGGCGGUUCUCUGGGCCUUACCUGACGCUGAGGAGCGAAAGCGUGGGGAGCGAACAGG